GACAGAGGGUGCAACCGUUGUUCGGAAUUACUGGGCGUAAAGCGCACGUAGGCGGCUUUGUAAGUUAGAGGUGAAAGCCCAGGGCUUAACCCUGGAAUUGCCUUUAAGACUGCAUCGCUAGAAUCGUGGAGAGGUAAGUGGAAUUCCGAGUGUAGAGGUGAAAUUCGUAGAUAUUCGCAAGAACACCAGUGGCGAAGGCGGCUCACUGGCCCGGUACUGACGCUGAGGUGCGAAAGCGUGGGGAGCAAACAGG
rnacentral:rRNA from 1 species